CUCUGUUUCGUAAAGAUUCAGGGCAGAAAGGGU
ncrna:Aneurinibacillus terranovensis DSM 18919 L31-Firmicutes ribosomal protein leader